CUGACUUAGUGAAUGCUUCUAUAUGCCAACUACAGAACUAAGCCUAAUUUAUUUCUUUCAAUGCUUAUAACAGGUCUGCGAGGUAUGCAUUUUUCUUCCCACUUUACAUUUGGCUCAGGAAGUAUGAAUAAUCGCUCAAGAUGGUAUAUAGCUGGUAAGUGGAGGACCUGGGGUGAUUCGAACUCUCCUUUAUGAAACUCCAGCACUGUCUUCAUAACCACUAUGCUGUCUGGUGUCUACGUAAGCCAAAGACAGGGCCCAAACACUGGAGGACAUUGAAAGUUGGCACGUAAAGAGGUUUAGAAGAUCCACCAUGAGAAGCCACAUCCAAGGGAAGAACAUGGAGGAUUCCUGGACCUUUUAAUCCAGUGAUGACUGAGGACCCAAGAUCUGGAAGAUGUUUUGGCUUUGUACUCACACAGCUCUGAAGAUGCUGAGUUCUGAUUGAUCUGGCAAUGAGCAUUGGGAGGACCAGGGAUCAGUGGUCAGGGAACUGAUGACUGGCGCCGAGGGACAGGAAACAUGGCCAUUAAGGCUGGCACAUAGGACUCUGUAUUCAGCUAUUGGGAAGGUUUGGACUUCAUGGCUGGAAAUUCGAGAUGCAAGAGGGAGAGCUCAGUCACUGAUAGAAACAUAAUGAAUCAUGACUGACUCCAUAAGGUAAGUAGUUACUGCAAGCUUCUCUGAGUGUCUGUAUGCUGAGGACAGCCCCCUACCAGACUGCCCGUGACCAACCAACUAAGAAAGGCAGCAAAGAUGUUAUGCAACCAAGUGGACAUUUGAAAGAAGUAGAGGAAAGGUCAUUGCAGCAGCAGAUUGGAACAGAAAUAGCAAGAGCUAUAGAAAGGCAAUUGAUCAGUUGAUGAAGUCAUGGUGCCUUAUGUCUGUACAGUGAGAACUUUUGGAGAGAUUGAGAAUUCUCUGCAGUUGAAUGUCAAUUCAAAUACAAAAUUAAAAAAAAGAAGACCAGUUAAAGAUGAACGCAUGUAAAUGAACAUGGAAAACAGAUUGGUGUGGGACAUGAAAGAGAAUUAGCACAGCCCAGAGAAAAUACAUGGUGACCGGUGUGGAAAUAAAUGAAGACCAAUCAAAUGAGAACAAGCAAAGGCUAUGUAUUCAGAGCUUGAUAUAGCAAGAAAGCCAUUAUCAUUUGUAUUUGGCAGACCCAAAGGCAGGCAGAAGAAUGGGAAAGCUUUAUAGUGGAUACAAGAAGACUCCUGGGAUGCCCUGAUUGGAGGCUGUUUCCAUGAGGAGGUGGCUCUUUUCCCACAUGCCGGCUGAAUGCAGAGGAUUAUGAGAUUCUAGGAAAGGAUGGACCUGUAAUAUGGAAGAAGCCUACGUCUCUGAAGUAUUGUAUGGAAGCAUUCCACCAACCAGAAAGAACCACAUUAUACUGUUAGAUGGUAUUUAAAAAACCCUAGGCCUGAUGCCCCUGUCAGAAAGCACACACUCCGACAUCUCUUACAAGUGCUGCGGGGAGGAGGUGUGAUGCCCAACAACAACCCCACAGGAGACGUGAUCCUCUGGAAGCUUCUAGACACUGUGCUCUUCACUGGGCUCAGGUGCUGAGUGUCAAGCAGAUGCACUUGGCAGGUCAUUCGGGACCAUGUUAGGUUAUUCAGAGGAACAAAAGCACAACAAACUGCCUGGAACCCUUGAUGUCUGGGAGAAGCUCACUGCACCAGCUAGCAGCUGUCCUGCCACAUUCUUGUCUGCCUGAAAGAAAAGAAAGGAAGAACGCAUGACUCCAAACGAAUGGCCUAGAAUUGGAGGCUGCUUGGCAGUAUAAGAAACGCAGAGAAAAAGAGGACUAAGAUGCACAGGGGAUUGAGGGGGAUUACAUGCAGCUUCCACGAAAUGUCUUGUGCUCCUCUCUGGGAAAGGAACUGUAAAUGUCAAGGCAUCAGUCUCCCUGACAACAACUUACACAGUAGGUGGAGGGAGAGGGCCGUCGAUGCUACGUUUUUAACAAAGUCCUGGAUGAUGCCAGCGCUGCCAGCCCUGACACCAUGCCCCCGAUUAGCAAGGUGUGAAGAGAAUCUCGGGUCACGGGUGUGCCUCAGGCAGCACGGCUUCAGCGGGGAGGAGAAUCCAAUUCUGUACAAAGAUGCGCAAAUGCAUUUGAGUCGCACCUCACCUCACUAAUGUUAGGAGGCGAUUGUCCACGUAACUCCUAAGUCUUCUGGAUUUAGAAUGCUUCGGGUGAUGGAAACUUCUCUCGACAGCUGACAGCUGAUGUGGGGCUGUUCAGGUCUAUAUUCGGAUGGCCUAACAGCUCGUGAGCACACAGCAGCUGAGGGAAGGAGUAUGCUGGGCGGCAAGGGGAGGCGAGCUUGGCAUGCACAUUGGCCAAGGACCAUCUAUAAAGUGCACUGCCCACAUGUGCAUAUUGGGAGCUGGGUUUUGCAACGGCUGCCUCCCCUCUGGUUGAGCAAUGGAAGGGAAAUUAGCACAGGGCCCCUAAGGUCCUCUCACUUUCCCCAGAUUCCCAAAAGGAAGAAAAAAAAAUUUUUUUUGAAUAGGUAGGAAGGAAUAGAAAAUGACAGCGAGAGAAAGGAAGUUGAAAGGUGGCUUGAGUUUCUAUUUUUAUUUUUUUUAUUUUUGAGAGGAGGGGAGAAUAAACUCCCUAAGAUGAAUCAAGAUGAAAGACAUUAAAAGAAAAAAAAAAAAAGAAACAAAGAAAAGAAAUGCAUGAUGAAGAGAGGAAGGAAAUCUCCUUGAUAGAUAGAACAGAUUUGCCAAAUAUAUUACAUUCAUUAAGAUUUUUCUCUGCUUAUAAUGUGUGCUUUUUGGAGGCUUUUCUUAGCAUUAACGGACGCUCUGGGAGAGGAGAAAGUUGGCAGAGAGAAGCCUAGCAAAUAUAUAAAUAAGCUUCGGAGGUUUCAGGAGUUUCAUAUCCCACAAUAGAACGUUCUCCAGGCUAGGCAAACUUUUUCUUACUUAAACAAAUGCUUUGAAAGACAAAGAUUUCAUAUCGUCAGUGGAACAUUCAGACUAAUAAUUGCCUUUGUUCUUCCUGCCUUGAAGUCUCAACAGCCAGCAGAUUUAUGAUUCACUUUCGGCAAUAAGCUUCUUCAAAUAAAUAUCACUUUCCAGGCUGCAAAUUGAGUUUUUGCAAACACAGAGAUCGACUUCACUAAGAGGAACUAAGUUUUCUUGGGCUGUAUGUAUAUAUGAUUAUGAAACACUGUUUACUUUCUUCCCCUCUGCUGUAGGAGAAGGGGUUAAAAAUCUAUAUUUAGAAAAAAUUGCCAUUUUUAAUGGUCAAUGUACU